GCUAGCUCAACCAGGCAGAGCAACGGACUCUUAAUCCGUAGGUUGUGGGUUCGAUUCCCACG
rnacentral:tRNA from 1 species